rnacentral:lncRNA from 1 species
GAAUGAUUUAUUCUGUUUGAGACUUGGGGCACCCUAGCUGCUUCCCCUCUGCAGGAGAGGCUGUAUAGUUCUUCCUGCCCUGCAGUUGUGAACACAAUGUGAAUGCAUUGUCUCCCCUACAACAAAACCAGUCUGCCCCAGCUCGGGUGUCACACCCAUUUGGUGCAUGAAUGGGGAGAGGUCUUUUGGAGCUGGAAGAAGAAUUUGAAGUUCUCAGACUGACAAAAUGCAGCAGGACCCUUUUCCUCAUCAUGGACCGCAACCACAUGGAAACGGUGUGAAUUCAAGCCUUGAGAAGGAUAAUGGCCCAGAGAGCUGAAUUCGGUGCCUGUGGCCACAUUUCAAGACAGCUUUUAAUUAUUAAGGAGCCUAAAAAGAAGACCCGGAGUCCCAGGAUCACACCACUUACAGUUGGACUCAGCACAACGUCUCAAUCCUUUGGAGUUCGGCCAGGCAUGGCUGCCCUUCUGUUCUGUUUCCUGCUGAUCUUCAUGCAACAGCUGCUUUACUCUCAGCCGUCUUCAAAAACCCCAGCCCCGCCAAGUUCUUCCAGAUGAUUCUGUUGCCUGGAUUAAUUUAAGCAUCAUUUCCUCCUGAUGACGCAGCAAAAUGGAGAGCCUCGUGCUCCAGAGCACAAAGUCUGCAGAAAAUGUUGGAGUGUAUUAACAUCAACCUCAGUAUUUGCUUUUUCGUGAUACUUCAUCACCUUCUCUUACCCCUUUUAAUAUGGUCACAUCAUUCACGUGGGUUUAAGGCCCAGUUUCUGGGCAGGACAGCCACGAGGCCUCACCCUGUCAUCACAGAGUUCGUGAAGUCAUCUGGUUGUGGCUGGGACGCAGCCUCCAGCGGUCCCUAAGCAAAGAAUAAACAUAUGCUUUUAUUUUCUUAA